AUAGAUUGGGAUAACUCGGAAACCGGGCUAAUACCGAAUAAUACUUUUAAACACAUGUUUGGAAGUUGAAAGACGGUUUCGGACUGUCACUAUAAGAUGGACCCGCGGCGCAUUAGCUAGUUGGUGAGGUAACGGCUCACCAAGGCAACGAUGCGUAGCCGACCUGAGAGGGUGAUCGGCCACACUGGGACUGAGACACGGCCCAGACUCCUACGGGAGGCAGCAGUAGGGAAUCUUCCACAAUGGACGAAAGUCUGGAUGGAGCAACGCCGCCGUGAGUGAAGAAGGAUUUCGGUUCGUAAAACUCUGUUGCAAGGGAAGAACAAGUAGCGUAGUAACUGGCGCUACCUUGACGGUACCUUGUUAGAAAGCCACGGCUAACUACGUGCCAGCCGCCGC
rnacentral:rRNA from 1 species